GACGAAGGAUGCAAGCGUUAUCCGGAUUCAUUGGGUUUAAAGGGUGCGUAGGCGGCCUUGUAAGUCAGUGGUGAAAUCUUCCCGCUUAACGGGAAAACUGCCAUUGAUACUGCUUGGCUUGAGUACAGAUGCUGUGGGCGGAAUAUGACAUGUAGUGGUGAAAUACAUAGAGAUGUCAUAGAACACCGAUUGCGAAGGCAGCUCACAAAACUGUAACUGACGCUGAGGCUCGAAAGUGUGGGGAUCAAACAGG
rnacentral:rRNA from 1 species